rnacentral:rRNA from 1 species
ACGGAAGGCAGCAGUGGGGAAUAUUGCACAAUGGGGGAAACCCUGAUGCAGCGACGCCGCGUGAAGGAAGAAGUAUUUCGGUAUGUAAAGCUCUAUCAGCAGGGAAGAUAAUGACGGUACCUGACUAAGAAGCACCGGCUAAAUACGUGCCAGCAGCCGCGGUAAUACGUAUGGUGCAAGCGUUAUCCGGAUUUACUGGGUGUAAAGGGAGCGUAGGCGGUUUUACAAGUCUGAUGUGAAAGCCCGGGGCUCAACUCCGGUACUGCAUUGGAAACUGUAGAACUAGAGUGUCGGAGGGGUAAGUGGAAUUCCUAGUGUAGCGGUGAAAUGCGUAGAUAUUAGGAGGAACACCAGUGGCGAAGGCGGCUUACUGGACGAUUACUGACGCUGAGGCGCGAAAGCGUGGGGAGCGAACAGGAUUAGAUACCCUGGUA